UACGGAGGGGGCUAGCGUUGUUCGGAAUUACUGGGCGUAAAGCGCGCGUAGGUGGCUUCGUAAGUCCGUUGUGAAAGUCAAAGGCUCAACCUUUGAAUGCCGAUGGAUACUGCGAAGCUAGAGUACGGAAGAGGCGAGUGGAAUUCCUGGUGUAGCGGUGAAAUGCGCAGAUAUCGGGAGGAACACCUAUGGCGAAGGCAGCUCGCUGGGACGUUACUGACGCUGGAGACGCGAAAGCGUGGGGAGCAAACAGG
rnacentral:rRNA from 1 species